GGUGAUCUAUCUGGCUGCAACAUCUAUCACCCCAUUGAUUGCCAGGGUUGAUUCAGCAGAUCUGGCCGGCUAGGCGGGUGUCCCCUUCCUCUCUCACCACUCCAUGUGCGUCCCUCCCAAAACUGCGUGCUCAGUCCAAGAGGAUGACCUUCUCUGCUAGAGGAGGACUGGUCUUUGGUUUGGUCAAGGGUAUAUGAGUAACUGCACUCCCCUGCUAGAACCUCCAAACAAGCUCUCAAGGUCCACAGCCAGUUAUUGUUCUUUCUCCAUUUCUAUUGCUUCACUUGACCAGGAGAAAAAAAAAGAAAGAAAAAGAUUGGUCAGCCUCAGGAGAGCUGGAGCUUUCCCUGUGGC
rnacentral:snRNA from 1 species